UCUGUUUUAUUUCCAAAGUGCCGUCAUUUGCUCUUACAUCACCUGUCUCCCCAGUCAAUUGGCAGGCGCCAAGGCUGUCUUCUCACUGCUGCCCCCUCCCCAGGUUAGCACAGUGCCUGGCGCAUGGUAAGAGUGAAGAGUGAAUGAGUGAAUGAAUGAAUGGAUGGAUGGAUGGAUGAGAAGGUAGGGAGACAGAAAGUGGCCACUCUUGCCUGCGACGUGGCUACCCUGCUCAGCUCAGGAAACCUGGCCAUCCCCAAGCCCACCUCUCCAGACCACCUCUCUAAAGGGGUUUUGCUGGGUUUAGGAAUGGGUGGGGGUCAGGGUCUUGGUCAGAGGGCAGGGGGCUCUUCCCUUCUUAUCCUAUUUUCACUCAGAGGGAAAGAAGGGCCUCCACAGACCCUCCCUCUCCCAGCAACCAGGGGCUGGGGAACAAAUAGUAUUUCUAAAGUCUGGGGGUGGGGAGGAGGAGGAAGUGUCCUCAUUGUUGGGGGAGGAGUGAUGCAGCCAGCACCCAUCUGCACCCUUUCCUCACUUCACUUCCCAGACCUUGAGGGGGCCCUGGCCCUAGGGGAGUGCAGGUCUGGACGCUCAUAAUAUUCGGUGCAAGAGAAUAACAGCCACCAGUAAAUGCACACAUUCCCCGUGUCAGUCUUGACACGCAGGACCGAAUUAUUUCCCACAACGGUUCUCAGUGGUGGGAGUUGUCUCCAUUCUCCAGAAGAGGAAACUGAGGCUCAGAGUGGUGGGAGGGCAAGCCCAACAUCACCCAGCCAGGAAGGAGUGGCACUGGGAUGGAACCCAGGACUCUGAGGUUCAAUACCUGCUCAUUCAUCUAAUGUCUGCUGUGUGCCAGGCACCUUCAUGUCUCCAGACAUCCUGAGAAGUGGGUAUUCUGUCCCUCAUUUUGCAGAAGGGAAAACCGAAGCUCAGCAGAGAGGUGAAAGGGCUGGCCCUCAGUCUCACAGCCUGUUAGAGGCAGGCAGAGCCAAGUGGAAGCACAGGUCUGCCUGACUCCAAAUCCACUCUGCAGUCUCUACCCUGCAGUUUGCUCCUCAGCUCAAGUGUCCAGGUUGUUUCAGAUUUGUAUUAGGCCCUGGGUAGUGAAGGGUCAGAUCAAUCAACCAGCAGUUGUUGGGUCCCUCAAAAGCCCCUGAAGUAUGACACUGUCCCUACAGGUAAGGAAGAUGUCAUCCAGUUGGGAGGGUGGCAUAUUAAUAUGUAAAGAGUUAUAAGAACUAAAUGACAAACAGAAACUUUGGGCACUCUCACAAGGGCAUGUGUAUGAUCCACAAUUCUGAGGAAUUGGUCAGGGAAUGUGGCCUUGAAAGAUUUUUUAGAGACAGAAGUCCACAUGAUACGCAUUACAAUUACAAUGAAUUGAUCAUCAUUAUAAUGACAAAAACCGUUAAUAAUCACUAUAAUUAGGCCCCGUUGCUGUUCCCAUUUCACAGAUGAGGAUGCUGAAGCUCAGAAAGAGAAAGCGACAUCCCCAAGGCCGGCCAGCUGAUGCAGAAACCGUGGCCCAGAGAGGUUAAGUGAUUCGCCAAAGGUCGCACAGCGAGAAGGACCGCCCCCCACUUCCCCCGAUAUGCAGAAACUGAGGCUCAGAAGGCGACAGAGGUAAAUCUUGGACCAAAUCCCUUUCCCCAUCUGGGCCUCCAUCUCAUCUGGUUGCCGACCUCCAAGAAUCCCCUGGCCAAGCGUCUUCUCACGGCUCCUGCCCAGGCAUCCGGGAGGCGGAGUGGCGCAAAGCCAGGCCUCACCUCCCUGGCCCCUGCCAGCCCGCUUCUUACCCUGCUGCCCAGGGUGGGCGGGGUCCAGGCCAGGGCAGCUGGCAGCUGGCCCCACGUCCCUCCGGCUGGUGAGGAGGUGACCAGGGCCAUUUGCGGUAAUGGAUUGCGGGCGGGUGGUGGCUGGGUGAAGGAGUACAUUGGCCGCGGCCCUUAAUGCCUCACAAGCCAGCUCUGGCAUGGGUAAUUUACUGCUGCCGACAAUAACAUAUUUCACUUCCCGUCGCCCCGAUGAAGAUUAGUUGUGUUUGAAAGUGGCUGAGUACACAGUCAAUUCCGCUUAAACGUUUACAGUCAACUGAGCACAGAUAAUGCCCCCUCCAACAUGUGUCUGUGCCUCCUGUGGCUAGAGGAGGGGCCCGGAGUGGGGGCAGGGGGUCGCAGCCCAGGGAAGGGGCUGCAGCUGCACGGAGGAAGGGAUUCGGGAGCUGGGGGCUGGGCAGAGGUCUACGGCUUCCUUCGGCCCCACUUUUCAGAUUGUCUUUUAAAAUCAUCCGUGCAACAAAUGCUUCCCUGGGACUGGCCAAGGACAUCUGUGUAGAUGGGUAUGGGGAGGAUUCAAAGCCAUGAUUACAUUUCAUCCCGUCAACAUCCCUGGGAGGCAGGUCUUAUCUCCAGUUUCCAAAAGAACGGAAACUAAGGCUCAGAGAGGCUCAUUAGCUUUCUGGAUGUCUCACAACUGGUACCAGAUGGGGCCAUGAUUUGAACCCAAGCCUGAUGGAGUUUCUGAGUCUUGAGCUGUUCCUAGUGACGUGGAUUCUACCAGCUUAAGCCCUGGGCUGGGCAGGGUUGUCUGCCCAGGGCUCCUGGGUAAACUGUAGACUUGCAUCCUCUAUGCACCCAUGUUUGGGUUGACUACCAGGCUCCAAGGCUCAGACUUAGAAUCCCUGGGUCAUAUGGAGGGUCCCGUGGGUGCCAUGAGUCUGAUGGGAUUGGAGGCUGGACAGAGUCCCAGGCACAGAACUUCACUUGUUGGGGAGGGAAGUUUCCCCUGAUAAGCAGGCUUCUUGCCGUCUUUGGGAGCAGAGUGGUUUGAGGAUUGGGUGCAGCUCCCGCCAGGCCUGCCGGUGACACUCUCAAGGCUCUGGAUCGGGCACAAAUGGAGGCCCCAGCACCAGCCCCUGAGCCUUCUCUUCCCAUCAUGGGCCAUGUCCAGAACUGGAGGGGCCUCACUCCCACACAGUGGGACACCAGCUUGCUAGGGUCACACCACCCCCUUCAAACAUCCACCCCUUGACCUUGGGCUUGGGCGUGUUCACAUCUGUGACAGGUUUGUCCUGGGAGGAUGGACCUCGGAAGAGGACUUCCAGGCCUUGGAAGUGGACUCAAGGCUCUUAGAGAAGGGGAUUCCAGGAUGCCGUCUUCCUGAGUACGGUCAGCAGAGGCACAGGCUCCUGGUGGGCACGUCUCCUGGGCCCGUAGAUACUUCAUCCUGUGGGAAGGGGCGUGGUCAGCCCUGUAAGACACAGGUGGCGCCCAUCCAAGGUGGUGGCGCCCAUCCAAGGUGGUGCAGCCGCCCAGCCAGACUUGCUCACAAGGCGGGGGGAGAGGGGGUGAGUGGGUGGCCUGGGCUUCUCCCCUCCUCACCGCUCCCCGCCUUGAGCCAGCCCCGAAAUUCCUCCGAGGGGCAUCCACGCCCAGGGACGCUGCAGGCACUGCACCCAAGGCCUGCAGGGAAGAACCAGAGGCUUGCCUGUCUGGCCUGAGGCUGGGCCUUCCACAGCCAGAGCCACGCUGUAAGCAGCAUCCUUUAUUGAGCACCUGCAGUAUGCCAGCUCUCCUCCAGGCCCCUCCAGCACUGUUCCACUCAAGCUGCAUGGUAUCCUGGCUGGUGGCUGUUCCCUCUCCCUUUCUCAGAGGAGAAUGAGACUCAGAGCGGGGAGGAGGACACACAGAAGGAGGGAUGGAGCCAGGAUUCAACCCUGGGGCUGUGCUCCUAUGGGGGGGCCUGGCCUCUGUGCUCGGGACACGUGGUGUGAGAGAGAAUGUGCUUGUGCGCGUGGGUGGCCACUCAUGUCCCUGUGUGACAGAUGGGGAGUGUCCCAUGCUGAGUGUGAUACCGUGUCUGGUAAGUCAUGCCCGUGGAUGCCAUGGGCACUGCGUCUCCCAGGGUGACAGUGUCCCAGUUACGCUAUGUUUUUCCAUGUCUUUAGGACAUGGCCAUGUGACCCUAAGUUGUUUGUGUGAUAUCGGUGUCGGUGUCUAUCCGUGCCUGAUGACACCAUCUGGGUGACUUGUGUCUGUGUGACCCCCAUCUAUCCGUGUCUCAUGACAUUGUUGGAUGACCUUGUUGUGUACGGGUGGUGCUGUCCCCACUGAGGAGCUGUAACUGGGUAAUUUGCAGGGUCGAGGGGCCGUGCUGGACACUGGGUGCUGGCAGAGCUUGGUGGCUGCUGGACCCAUCUCUGCAGUCCCGGUCACCCUGUCCACCUACCUGGCCAUGCAGGCACCCUGAGGCCUGGGCCCCCGAGUGGAGGAAGUGGCCACAGAGGCUGCGGUCCUCGGCCACACCGACCAGAGUGCCUGCCACUGGGCAGGGCUGACCCCAUGUCAUCUUGUCAUCCCUCCACCCCAGGGGGCACCUCUCACCAUCAACUCUCUGUCCUCAGCAGCAGCAGUGGCAGAGCCCUCCGUCCGGGGCUGCACCCCAUCCCAGCCACGUCCAAGCCUGGCCCCUCUGCGGGGCCCCCAGGACCCUCCCCCACAUCCACUUAUCAAGCUCCAACGAGCCAAGCCUAUUCCAGGCACUGGGGAUUCAAUCAAUUCCCUGCCCUCACCAAGCACAAUGAAUAGAUGUGCUCAGGCCAGGAGCGCCCCCAUUAGACCACCCUUGGAUGCUGAGCCCCUGCCUAGCUCCUGCCCCCAUGGUGCCCCCAGCACAGCUGAAGCCUCCUGAAUUGGAGGAUAAGGAAUUUGGGAUGGGAAUUGUGAGCCUGCCUGACGUCCCCUUGCUGUGUGACCUUAGAUAUAUUGCUUAACUUCUCUGGUCUGAGACAUGAGAUGACCUAAGAAAGGGCUUGACAGUUUGGAAGGGCAGCAGAAACAGCAGACUGCCCUGCAUGGCCCAGAGCUCUGCGGUGUUCAGAGGGCUGCUGCCCCCACCACUGAUGAUGACAGAAAUGGCAACUUCUGUCUCUUAGCACAGGGCUGGGGCCAAGCUCCUUGUGUGUUGUAGCUCCUCGGAGACAGGCCCUCUUUUAUUUUCACUCUGCAGAUGUGGAAACAGGUUCAGAGAGGGCAAAUGACUUGCUCAAGGCAACCACAGCAAGAAGCGAACAGGCUUAAACUAAACCUGUAUUCAGGACAACUCCCGCGUCCCCUACCAUUGUCUCCAGUAUGCAUGGGGCGUGGCAGAAAUGACUAUCCCUUUUACAGCUGGGGAAACUGAGGCUUAGAGAGGGGAUGUGAUGUUUUGGGGUCUCUGGACUCCCAAGCCACUGCUCUCUCCCACCCCUCCCUAAUCUCUCUACCCUCCUGAGUGCAAAUCACCAUGGUGGGGUUGGGGAGGGCUGGGAGGCAAAGAGAGAAAGGCUGUCAGAGACAAAGAACCGCUGUGGCCGCACAAUGGUGACAAUCCAAGCCAGAUGACAGGCACUGGGCUUCAGGAGCAGCUUGGAGCCCACCUGCAGCUUCCUCCAGACAAUGAGAAGCCUAUGCUCCUGGGGGGUGGGGCACAAUAGGCACCCUGUGUUCAGGGGCCUGCCUCUCCCUGCACCACUCUGGGGACGAGAGAUGGCCCAGGCAGCCACUGCCUGGCCUAGGAACAAGGGGCGAGGGGCUGGUGAGCUCACACAUGGUGGUGGUGGGAGGGGGAAGGGGCAACCCACCCACAUGGCGGGAUUUGGAAGGUCUCUCUUUCCCGACCCAAACACCCCACCAUAAGUGGCCUCUUACCUUGCCUGAAAAUGUAGAAGUAGCUCUCCAAUUCCCUCUGGGCAAGCAACUUAAAUUUAUCUCCGAACUUCUGGUUCUCCAUCUGUAAGAUGAAGAUGAUAGAUUUUGCUUGGCAGAGGUGCUGUUGGGAUUAGAUGAGGGAGACACAUUGAAUGACAUGUAGUAAUGGCUUGAGAUGUGUUAGUUCCUUUUCAUGAUGAGUGAAAGGAUGGCUGGGUGGGUGGGUGGGGUGAUGCGUGGAUGCAUGUAUGGAUGGAGGGGAGAUUAGAUGAGUGGAAGGACU